GGAGGAGGCUGGAGGAAUGCACAGCAGUGGUCGGGAGGGGACACGAAGUGCAGGACAUGGUGUUUCUGGUCAGCAGACUUUCGGAGGACUCAGAUUGAGAUGGAAGGCAUUUGAGCACCUCUAACUCUUACUGCCAUGGAAUCUUCAAGGAGAGGGAAGCACAGUCUUGACAGUGGCCCUGAAGGACCUAUAGCUUCUUCUUGGAUAUCUGCAUCACUGGGAAGCUGAGAUCUCAAGGAGGCAGGUCUCCAGAUGGCAGCUAUAUCAGCAGGUGUCAUACCUAUUUUGGGAAAGGAAAUGAAGGAAGGAGAAAGGCUGAAGGACAAUAGGUUAAUUAUUGUCUCUUCGAUUCAUACCCUUAUGGAUGUUUUCACUGAGCACUGCUCCCGGAGUGAAAGUCACACAAAUGAAAGAGAUUUACUUCUGCCUAAGAAGUUCCUACGCUAAUAUCAAGCUAUGGAGAAUGGCUCCCAUGUAGAAGAUUCUCUCAGUAUUGCCUGGGUGCAUCAUUUUCACUCUAAUUUUUGAUCUUUUCAUGGAAUUAUAGCUCAUAAGCAGAGAGAAAGAAAUGGCUGUGUCCCUGAGCUACAGCUGUGGGAUGGGGAAAAUGGUGGGAGAGGAAGAUGUUUCAUGGUAUAGCACAUGACUUGUCAUGCUGCAAAAAAUAUUAUUGCCCAUUGGUCUCUUAUCAGAGCUGACUUUUCUUGACAAAAGGAAAUAAAUGUAAACUCUCUCCUUCAUUUCAGCUCUUAUAAGAGAAUGUAUCAGGAACUUGACUUUCCUGACCUUUAUAGACAACCAUAACUGAAAUGAUACUUGUGAGUUAAUGUAUGUUUGUUGACACUCAUUUUGUCCUUUAGAUUUUAAAAUGCAAUUUGUA